GCCUGUUCUCAGGGCGGGGUGAAAUUCCCCACCGGUGGUAUGCAGGUUCGCCUGUGAGCCCACGAGCGCCCCGCACCGCGGGGGUCUAGCAGAUCAGGUGAGAGGCCUGAGCCGACGGUCAUAGUCCGGAUGAAAGAGAACGCAG
rnacentral:ncRNA from 2 species